ACGAACGCUGGCGGCGUGCUUAACACAUGCAAGUCGAACGGAAAGGCCUGGUUUCCCCUGUGGAUUGCGGGUGCUCGAGUGGCGAACGGGUGAGUAACACGUGAGUGAUCUGCCCCCAACUUGGGUAUAAGCCUGGGAAACUGGGUCUAAUUCCCGAUAGGACUGCAGGGUGGUGCCUGUGGUGGAAAACGAUUUUCUAGUGGUUGGGGAUGAGCUCGCGGCCUAUCAGCUUGUUGGUGGGGUAAUGGCCUACCAAGGCGGCGACGGGUAGCCGGCCUGAGAGGGUGGACGGCCACAUUGGGACUGAGAUACGGCCCAGACUCCUACGGGAGGCAGCAGUGGGGAAUAUUGCACAAUGGGCGGAAGCCUGAUGCAGCGACGCCGCGUGGGGGAUGACGGCCUUCGGGUUGUAAACUCCUUUCGACCGCGAGGAAGCCACCUGGUUGGAAGGGUGGUGACGGUAGUGGUAGAAGAAGCACCGGCUAACUACGUG
rnacentral:rRNA from 1 species